AGGUUGUCAAGCUACCAAGCCAGAAGCAAUAUUCCAGUUGGGGAAAGAAGAACAAGGAAUAGUAGAGAGAGAAUUCCCAAGUUGGUGCAGUCCAGCACGAUGGAAUUUAGUCGCCAGAAAAUGGCCAUCUCGCUAUCUGUAAGAAGCAUCUUCCAAGACUGCUGCUUCCAUGUGCACGCCUGGUUUCAAAGUCUGUAGACAUCUUGUGUUCCGCGAAGGUGCUACUGAGUCUGCACAAGAGCGUGACUACGGCAGUGAGUGAAGAGGUUACGGAAACCUGCUAGUCCUCAAGCGAAUGUUUGUGCGACUCCAGCUGUAGGGGGCUUCUUGAAAGUGACCACAGAA
rnacentral:lncRNA from 1 species